GCCGCCGAAGGUGGGGUAGAUGAUUGGGGUGAAGUCGUAACAAGGUAGCCGUAUCGGAAGGUGCGGCUGGAUCACCUCCUUUCU
rnacentral:rRNA from 1 species